GACGAACGCUGGCGGCGUGCCUAAUACAUGCAAGUAGAACGCUGAGGUUUGGUGUUUACACUAGACUGAUGAGUUGCGAACGGGUGAGUAACGCGUAGGUAACCUGCCUCAUAGCGGGGGAUAACUAUUGGAAACGAUAGCUAAUACCGCAUAAGAGUAAUUAACACAUGUUAGUUAUUUAAAAGGAGCAAUUGCUUCACUGUGAGAUGGACCUGCGUUGUAUUAGCUAGUUGGUGAGGUAAAGGCUCACCAAGGCGACGAUACAUAGCCGACCUGAGAGGGUGAUCGGCCACGCUGGGACUGAGACACGGCCCAGACUCCUACGGGAGGCAGCAGUAGGGAAUCUUCGGCAAUGGACGGAAGUCUGACCGAGCAACGCCGCGUGAGUGAAGAAGGUUUUCGGAUCGUAAAGCUCUGUUGUUAGAGAAGAACGUUGGUAGGAGUGGGAAAUCUACCAAGUGACGGUAACUAACCAGAAAGGGACGGCUAACUACGUGCCAGCAGCCGCGGUAAUACGUAGGUCCCGAGCGUUGUCCGGAUUUAUUGGGCGUAAAGCGAGCGCAGGCGGUUCUUUAAGUCUGAAGUUAAAGGCAGUGGCUUAACCAUUGUACGCUUUGGAAACUGGAGGACUUGAGUGCAGAAGGGGAGAGUGGAAUUCCAUGUGUAGCGGUGAAAUGCGUAGAUAUAUGGAGGAACACCGGUGGCGAAAGCGGCUCUCUGGUCUGUAACUGACGCUGAGGCUCGAAAGCGUGGGGAGCAAACAGG
rnacentral:rRNA from 1 species